UACGUAGGGUGCGAGCGUUGUCCGGAAUUAUUGGGCGUAAAGCGCGCGCAGGCGGCCGAUUAAGUCAGGUGUGAAAGGCUGCGGCUCAACCGCAGAGCGGCACCUGAAACUGGUCGGCUUGAGUGCAGGAGAGGGGAGCGGAAUUCCCGGUGUAGCGGUGGAAUGCGUAGAGAGUCGGGAGGAACACCAGUGGCGAAGGCGGCUCUCUGGCCUGUAACUGACGCUGAGGCGCGAAAGCGUGGGGAGCAACAGG
rnacentral:rRNA from 1 species